AUGGACCAGGCGGCGACCUCUGGGCACCACGUGGCGUCACUGCUGUUGCCAGCACACACACAUCGGGGACACCCACUUAUUACCUCAGGAACCAGGCCACCAGCAGAUAACUGCUCAGAUAAGUGUCCAGAGUCUCCAGCCUCUAGCAUUCUCAGGUUCGACGUUGGAAGAUGCAUUGAGAUGAGCACCACGCAGUCAGCAGUAUGGUGUGCCAUUAACUUUCUGCUACUUCAAUGCCUGCCUAAAGAAGAGCAAAAGACUGCUGGGCAAAAGAAGAAAUUAUUAGGAACAACAGAAGUCUUUCUGAAGGGAAGCUUGAGGCAGAUUAAAAGGAGAGCCUCAGGCCAGAACUCUGCACCUGUGGCAUUUACCCAACAAUACGGAGAACAUAAAAACUCAGUUACUUUGAGCAGACCUCGUGAGAAGUCUUGUCUUCAAUACUGUAAGAUCAGACUUAAGUGCAUGCCACAUGUGGUCUACACAAACAUUCUUCAGUUUCCUCUGAACCAGACCAACACAUAUAUGGACGACUGA
rnacentral:lncRNA from 12 species